rnacentral:rRNA from 1 species
AUUAUAUUUUAAAAAAAAAAUUUUUUUUUAAAAAUUUAACUUUAUUUAUAUAAAAACUGAAAAGGUUUAUUUUUUAAAAAAAGAAAAACAAUGUUCCUUUAGUAUCAGGAUUUAUUAAAUUUUAAUAAAAUUUAAACAUUCCCGAAAUUAUAUGAUCUAUUAAUUCUAAUAAUAUUUAUUAUAAAAAACUAUUAAAAUUAUUAAUAGAAAUUAAACAUUUUCCGUUUAUAAUAUAUCUGGUUUAAAAAAAAGAAAAUAAUUUUAAAUAAAAUUUUGUAAAAUAAAUUACAAAAUAAAUUUACUAUUAAAAUCUCUAUAAAAUAAAACUUAUAGUAUUUAAAAAGUUUAAUAACUAAAUUUAUAUAAUUCAAAUAAAUUUUAAUAUUUUUAAUAUAUUUAUAUUAAAUUAUAAUGAUAAAAUAAGUAAAUUAAUUAAUUUUUUAUUAAAAACUCAUCCAAAAUUGAAUGAUUGUUUAACAAAAACAUUUUUAUUAGUACUAAUUAAUAAUAAAAUCUGCUCAAUGAUAAAUUAAAUAGCCGCUAUAGUGCUAAGGUAGUAUAAUAAUUUGUUUUUUAAUUAAAGACCACACAAAAGAUUUAACAUUUCAAUUAAUGUUUAUAUAAAAAUAUUUAAAUUAUCUUAAUUGUAAAAAGACAAUUAUUAAAAAGAAAGACGAUAAGACCCUAUCGAACUUUACUUUAGUUUAACUGGGGUAGUUAGUUAAUUAUUACUUUAAUAUUACUAAAUACUCAAUUUGACCUAAUAUAAUUAAAAAUAUAAUUAAGUUACCGUAGGGAUAACAGCGUAAUAAAAUUUUUAAGAAUUCAUUUAAAAUAAAGAUUGCGACCUCGAUGUUGAUUUAAUAUCCUAAUAUAACACAAUAGUUAAUUAAGGAAGUCUGUUCGACUUUUAAAAAAUUACAUGAUUUGAGUUCAGACCGGUGUAAACCAGGUCGGUUUCUAUCUUCUAUAAUAUUUCUUCUAGUACGAAAGGACCUAAGAAAAUAAUAAUAUU